GUAUCAAAAUCAAUAGAAAUAUGUCCUGAAAUGUUUACUUUUCAUAAACAUAAAUUUUAAUACUACAUAACUAUCCUAAAAGGAAAAAAAGUCCCAUGACCGUGGAUAUGCUCUAACACUGAGCUUCUUGGACCCCAGUGCAAAGAAAGUAAAGUAUUAUGUUAUAGAUUUCUCAUUUGUGGAAGAAUUCCUGUUCUUAAAUCUGGCUCAUUGUUUUUGUAGUGCAAAAUUUUGAGGAUCAUGUUUCUCUCAGGGAAUUGCAUGGGAGUGUUAAGAACUGAGUUGAGUAAUAGUCUUAACUAUAAUUUCGUAGACAAUGCAAAAGUAAGAUCUACAUGGUAUUUUGCUCUACAGUUGGAGACAGUGCAUACACAGUGUUAAAUGGUGAGACUGGAAUAUGGACCUGAGCUCAUGUGCAAAAUCUCAUCAGUGGACAGAGUGUGGUCUCCCAACAAUGAGCCCUAAUGUCACUUGAUUUGUGGACUUCCUAAGCCUCGGGUGAUGUGAAGGUCCUGAACCUGUCUGAGAGCUGAUUAGAGCAUUUCAAGAGCUGAAGUCUUCAUUUGCUGGCAAAAAACUUAACAAUCCUGAUGCGUGAAUGCUUGAGGGUAUCUUUCUCUGGCCAGAGGUUUUCUUCCCAAUGGAGGAGGUAUGGAGGAGAUCUCAUCAGAUGCAGCAUGACAUCCCCAGCUGUUCAUCUUAGCCAUCCUGUGACCCAGGCUGCCUUCUUCUGUGAAUAUUCAUUGCCUGAUGAGACUGCAGCUAAGACUGAAUCCCUGACCUCCAGAAUCUCACAAUUCAUCUGUCCCUAGAACACUGAAGAUUGGAAGACUGAUGGCAUCUUGAAAUUCUGAAGUUCCACUCCUCAUGCCUAUUGCCACUCCAUGUACAUUUAUUAAUCUCCUGUGGAGUUUAUCAGGCAGUUCCACCUGGCAAUACAGCACACUGGUGCAAGAUAAUGACAAAGAGAGAAAAUCCUACAGUUCAGGAGCUCUGGGAACCAAUGUUAUUCAUGGAACUAGAGGCCAUGAAUUCCAAAAGUUCAUGGCUUUUAUCAGUAUCAAUCAGAGAUGUGGGUCGGGGUCAUGGCUGAGCGUUUAGAAAGAGACACUUUGCAGGCAUUGGCUGUACCAGCCACAGAGGCUCUCCAAUUAGACAGGAUAUUUGAUGCUUGCAAAUCUGGAACCUUUCCUUCUUGGAUGGUGUAAUUCUUCCUUAGUCCCAAUGCUUCUGCUGAGAUACUGUCUUAUGUGUUAGCCCUGGAAUUGCAGAGGCCACUCCUGGAGCCCCCAUUCCAGGUGUCAACACUGUGGAUAAUGAUUACCUGGGCUUGAUCUCAUUCUUCUAGCUGGAUAAGGAAACCACCAGCUCCAUAUAACCAGCUCAGCAUAUCUCAAUGAAUAGAGUUGAAGGACAGGCAAAGGGGCUUGUUUCUCUGGAGAGCACAGCUUGGCAGUCUCCCAUAGACAUCAACACAAACUCUCUUGUGACUCAUUCAAGUACAUGACACUUAUCCUCCUUUUACUUUUCUCUCUCAUCUCACAUUCAAUAUGUCUGUAAAGCUUAUUUGCUCUAAUUUUAAAAUAUGACCAGAAUCUGUCCGCCUUUCAAUACAUCUACUGAUGGGUCAAAGCUCUGACAUGUGAGCACAUUCAGACAUGGAUAAAAGUAUCAGAGGAGGUGAAUGGGACUUUUUAAUAUUACUUUGGAAGUAGGGCCCAAAGGCCAACUUUUAGAACAGAUAUUAUUGUCCCAUUAUCAAACUCUUCAUUUUUGAAAGGCCACACCAGGAAACAAGCACCAUCUGAGAACCAGUGCCUUGCAGGCUGCCACUGGUCUGUGGACAGUCAGUCCUCAGCCCCUUCCAGCUUGCAGGAUGACAAACAAGAAGUAUCAGUGCACCCCCCACAAUUUCCCCAACCCAGAAACACAGGCUGUCAUGAUAGCUAUCAAUGUGAAAUGCAAUUGGCUGCCUGUGGUGCUUUGAUGUUUCACUGAUAUUGCAGAUAUAGGGCCAGUGGUCUGAUCGUAGGUUCAGGGGAUAGCUGUACACAAGGUGACAGCUAGAGAGGAUCUCCUUCUGAGGGUUCCAUCCAUUGUUGAUUCUCUAUGGUCUAGUUUUGAAAGUCAUAUAUUAUUUCCAUUCUUUUGUUGGGUUAGGUUUUAUUCUCUCUCUCUUUUUUUUUUUGAUUAUGUUAAGUCGGAUGGCAAGAGCAGCUGUUUCAAAGACAGCAGUAUGUAUUAUGGUAGCAAUUUUGGAUUUACUAUUGGCUUGUUUUGAAUUUCUUUAUUGCAUUUAUUGUUUUUAUUGUUUGUAUUUUACUCUGUUCUGUUUGAUUUUUACUAUGUCCAAAGAUCUCUUCAGCUAUUUUGAAGACAACAAAAGGCAUUCUGUUAAUUAUUGCUGAUUUUGUAAUGUAUUAAAAUGUUGUAUCACUUA